UGUCAGUUGUUGACGUUGUUUGGUUGUUGUGUGGUCGUGGCUUGAUUUGUUUAAAGAGAAACAUCUUAUAUGGGACCCGCUUGUUCUGGCCGUAAACGUAAGCCAACCGAAAUCAAACCAAGGCAAACUCGUUUUAUGGCCAACAUUAGCCAGCGGAAUCCAGAUACAACAUUUAAUUGCACGCCACAACAGUUUUCUGGCUGAUUUCUUCCUUUAAUUUCAAUUCCACACACAGCCCUCUGUUCAUCGCUCUGGGCCCGUAAAUCGCUGGCCAUUAAGACAUUUUGAUGACUUUUCGCCUCUGGAAACUUGAUCUGCGUCCCCCUCACAUACCACACCAUUAAAAAUGUGUUUUUUUUGGCAACGUCCGCCAAACCAAUCAAAACAAAUUAACAAACAUUUUCAAUAAAUAUUCAUGACGGAAUUCCGUCAAAUAAA